rnacentral:tRNA from 1 species
GGCAGGGUAGCUCAGUGGUAGUAGCGCACGCUUCAUAAGCGUGAAGUCAAGGGUUCGAUCCCCUUCCCUGCUA